rnacentral:tRNA from 1 species
UUUCUCUUAGUUCAAUUGGUAGAACAAAAGUUUUCGAAACUUUAUUCCCCGAGGGAUAGUAGUGGUUCGAAUCCACUAGGGAAAU